GAUGAACGCUGGCGGCGUGCCUAAUACAUGCCAGUCGAGCGAACAGAUGAGGAGCUUGCUCCUCUGACGUUAGCGGCGGACGGGUGAGUAACACGUGGAUAACCUACCUAUAAGACUGGGAUAACUUCGGGAAACCGGAGCUAAUACCGGAUAAUAUAUUGAACCGCAUGGUUCAAUAGUGAAAGACGGUUUUGCUGUCACUUAUAGAUGGAUCCGCGCCGCAUUAGCUAGUUGGUAAGGUAACGGCUUACCAAGGCAACGAUGCGUAGCCGACCUGAGAGGGUGGUCGGCCACACUGGAACUGAGACACGGUCCAGACUCCUACGGGAGGCAGCAGUAGGGAAUCUUCCGCAAUGGGCGAAAGCCUGACGGAGCAACGCCGCGUGAGUGAUGAAGGUCUUCGGAUCGUAAAACUCUGUUAGUAGGGAAGAACAAAUGUGUAAGUAACUAUGCACGUCUUGACGGUACCUAAUCAGAAAGCCACGGCUAACUACGUG
rnacentral:rRNA from 1 species